AAUAAUAUGCCUGAAUUAAAGGAUCACUUUGAUAUAGUGGGUCAUGCGGUAGCUAUUAUUA
rnacentral:tRNA from 1 species